CUGAUGCAGGGGAAGUCCUGGAAUGCUAAAACCUGCUUCUGUAUCUUCUGUCCGGGUAUCAGAAGUUCCAUCCACCAUGAGGCAGUGUUGCAGGAAGCAAGCAGAAAAUGAUGGCUGGGAAAUAGGAUGAGUACAUGGCUGCCAAGAUCCAGAUGCUGGAG